GCAUCCGUACCGAAGUGGCUGAACGGGUGGGACUGCAAAUCCCUUGUAGAGAAAUCUACCAUCGCCGGUUCGAAUCCUGUCGGGUGCUCCA
rnacentral:tRNA from 1 species